rnacentral:siRNA from 1 species
CAAAUUAGUCACAACGUUAACUG